CUGCUGAUGAAGACAUACCUGAAACUGGGCAAUUUACAAAAGAAAGAGGUUUAUCGGACUUACAGCUCCAUGUGGCUGCAGAGGGCUCACAAUCAUGGCAGAAGGCAAAGAGGAA